CUAUCUUUGAUACUAUCUUUCAUGUUAUCAUCUUUCAGAUUACUUGAACUUUUAAUAAAAAAUAAUUCUUAUAUUCCACUUGUACAUAGUGUUUUUCAAGCAUCUUAUCAAUACAGUUGGUAUGCAAUAAUAUUCAAUUUUAAAAAGGUCCGGGAGUCUGGAUAACUCCACUUGAUGUUAAGAGUUGUUUAAUUUCUAAAACAAACACUGCCCCCACACACCAUAAUGACUACACAAUUCUUGACUCGCUUUUCAUCAACCAAGUUGGCUUCAUCAGGAAAAGAAAUAUAUAGUAAAUGAAUCAUUAUAUUUCAUCUCCUAGUUCUGAUGUGUGUGUUCAAUGCUUGUUUUGGAUUUGUUCUACACCAGAUAGUCCAAAAUACAAUAGUCCAAAAGUCUUCUCCUAUUUUUAUAACUUAUUCUCUCUGUCACAUAAGUUAGAUUGGAAGUGAUGAAAUGAUGUUAUUAUCCUUCUGGAAGUUGGGGUAGUACUAACAAAUUACAUAGGAGCAAUACAUCAAAUGAAGUCAAAUAUUUUCAAAGUGGAUCGAGCAAAAGUGCAAACAAACAUUUUGUUGAUGUACGUAGAUCGUAACAAGGUUGACAUCAAAGAAUUACAGCGUAGACUACAGACAGUUUUAGAUACUGAUAGUGUACGUGCUUCUGUGAGGUGCUCAUCGUUGAAGUUUGAUUGUGUACGGUUUGUCUUAUAUCAUGAAAUUACCGCUGAAGAUGUUCAACUGGCUUGUGACAAAAUACAACUAGUCAUCAAGGAAUAUGAUGAAAUAUUCAAUUUGGAAAAUUAUGAUACCGUUGCUUAGUAAAAAGAGGAGGUUAUUUUUUUAAACGUUUAAGUUAUUUAUACAUGGUAAUAUGAUGGGUAAUCAAAAACUAAUUUUUUUAUGUCAGGUUUUUACCAACUAGUUUUUUGAAAAGGUCCCCAAUAUAUGUUUCAUGAUAUUUAAAAACUU